UGAAAGAUGUUGAAGACGGACUGAAAUAUUUUGUUGGAUAGGAGGGAAAUGUUGGGAAUGCAGUCCUUUAACUGUGUUAAAUCUGAGGUUCCGUCAUCCUUCAGUUUCCACAGUUUAUCAGUUCGUCCUGCUGAAUAUGAUCCUGGACUAGCAACCCUCACUCUCCGGGUACAGGUUAGAUCUGGUAGGGGGUCGACAGGAGAUCAUGAGUCCAUGUCCGGCGAGGUUCGGAUUGUUCACGGUACAGCAGAGAUUCAUAAUGUGGUCGAAACCUCGAUAAAGAAUGUUUUCAACUCGGAGGAUCAAUCUACUAGUGAAGAACCUGGGACGAAGGAAGAGGAUACUCCGGACGAGUUCUGGGUUCGACUUAUUGAAGGAUCGAUCCAGGACGAGUCUGUGAGAUCAAGAUUUGUAUUGGAUCUCUUCUCUGGGUUGUCUAGUAUUUCCUGGGACGUUAUCUCCUCAUGCAACCUUACUCGCAACCCAUCAAACCUUCAGACCUAUGAGAUGUUCACUUGGAUAUUAAAAAGGAAAAUGGUUCCUGCACCCGGGAUAGAAUGUAUUGCAAUAUCUUUAAGGAGACGCGAGGAUGAGAAUAUUCUAGAAAUUCUAAGCCCAGGAGACAACUGCACUAUUGAGGUUAAUAAUUUAGUCAAGAGUUGUGUUGAACAAGAGGCUAAACAGCCCAAGAAUCCAAACUGCGUGGAGUCUACGAGUAAACCUGAUCGAAGAUCUAAAGAGAUUAGUCACAAAGAACUUGCAAAUUCCUUGGAUAAGAUCUCAACAUAUGACAGUACUACUGUUACGGAAACCAAAAAAUUAAUAGAGCACAAUGUAACCUCUGGCCGCGUAGAGUCACCUGUUCAGUGUUCAGUAGAAACCAAUGUUGAACUGCAUCAUGUCUCUGAACAGUUAGCUAAUCAAUCUAAUCAAGAUAAUCACAAGUCUUUCACGAACUCAAAGUCAAGGUUACCAGGUUCUUCAGGACUGCAUGACAACUGCUGCAUAGAGCCAAGUUUACCAGGUCCCUCAGAACUGGAAAACAACUGCUGCGUAGAACAAGGAACUCCAGAUACACUUACUCCGGAUGAACCGAUGAAGACGGGAGAGAGUGGAUAUAUCUCGGAAGAGGAUAAAAAGAGUGAGGAAGAAUUAGCUCAGAAAACUGAGGAUAUUGAACCGGUUCCAGAAGAGUUUAUAGAUCCUAAAGAUAAAUCUGGUGAUGAUAACUGUUCACAAUUGAAAGAAGUUGAAUCUGAAAUUAUAUUAAAAGAAUCCGAAGUAUUGUCCGAAGAGAAAACCAGAGAAACUGAAACCAAACUAACUAGUGAAUAUGACACCAAAGAAUCCAGUAUACAUAAUACACAACCAACUGUUGAAUCUGAAACGAAACAGCCCAGUGAAUCUGAAACCAAGCAACCUAUUGAAUCUGAAACCAAGCAACCCAGUGAAUCUGAAACCAACCAACCCAGUGAUACUGAAACCAAGCAACCUAGUGAAUCUGAAACCAACCUAACUAGUGUGCCCACGGACGAGAAAACAAUCGCUUCCACAGCCGAAGAAUCCAUUAAAAUUGUUACAAGUCAAACAAAUGUAACGGUUACUAUCGAAACCCACGAAACUGUUUCUAGAGAAAUUACGAAAUAUAAAUCAAAUCAGAAAGAAAUAGAGCUAAAAGAAUUAGAAGCCGCUGCAAAAGUAAACGAAUUAUCUGCAAAAAUCAGCAAUUUGAUCCAAACACCACGGAAAGUGGAAUCCGAAGCUAUGCGGGAGGGAUCCCCUGGUUCUCCUGGUAAGGGUGUAGUCCUCAGGAAUAAAGCCUUCCUUAGCAACAUUAUUGCUCCUCCACCCAAAUUCCGUGAAUCUCAGGAGGAUCCUCUCUGCCCGUCCCAGUUCCGGGUUGGAUUAAACCUGAACCUUGUUCUCCUUGAUCUCUCCUACAAGAUGUUCUCUAGGCAGUGGAAGCUUGUGACCUGUACCAGGCUCCAGGGGUCACAGGAGUCCUUGCUCCUCUUCCAACAUGAUUCCAGGAUUCUUCCUGGUAUUGGACAACAGGCCUUGGCUGGGCUAAGUAUUGAACAGGGUGAAGUAGAACUGUUUAAUAUUAAUCCUGAGAUAUCAGGACGAAUAUCUGGGGAUCUAGGGUUGGAGAGGAAGGAAGGAUUUCUAUUCUCUGCUCCAGUUGAUGAGUCUGCUCUUUAUUCAAACCUGGUCUUUUCAUUCUGCCAACAUUCAUACAAUAUAUUCUCAUCUAUACAGAGCCCGACUGGGAGCUUGAUAAUGUUCCGCUCCUCGAACCUGGUCGCCUCCUCCACCCUCACCCUGCACCUUGUCAAGGGGAACACCAUCAGACUUAGUGGAGCUACAUUGGAAGAAGUUAACGUCAUUAGGGAGGUUAUACGAUCUAGAUGGCCAUAUGCAAUCUCACUAGAUCAUCAGCUGUUCAAGGACGGAGAGGUACAGAAAGACGUGGAAGUAAAAGACGCUGAAGACAAAGAUAGAGAAGUUAAAGAUGUGAGUAUCAAGGACGGAGAAAUCAAGGAUGGAUCUGAUAUUGAACCUGGAGCUAAGAAACCCUGUGAACCUGUUGAUGAUGGAUCUAGGAAAAGUUCAGGAUCGGAGAAAACGGUAUCCUGGGAGUGGAAGGUUCGAAGGUAUCCCUGGAGAAUAUCCUAUGGAGCCAGGUUGGUUGAUAGAGCAGUGGAGAAGGCAGGACGGGUUCUGUCUCUACCUUCACCUAAACAUCAGGACCUGGAGAGUGCUAAGAGUGUUAUCAUCUUUGCUUUAAAGGAGCUUUCGGAACGAGGUUGGAAAUUCUCUGGAGUUUUUAGCUCUGACUCCCAAACCUAUGUGCAGUUCAUUAAAUAGUUUAGUUUGGCAAAAAAUUUAAUUCAACCCAACUUUGAAUCCAAACGUGGACGUUGAACACUAAUCCAACGUAUCAAAUUGUUUAAUUGUACAUCUGCAGAUGUUUAACUUUAACUAUUGAUCUAGCCUUUGCAAAUAUUAUACAAGAUUAUAUAAGAAAAGAAAUUAAGUAUUUAAAUCAAUUCUAUAGUCCAUUAAUUUGAUAACUUAUCUUCCAUAUAAUCUUUAAAAUUCGACUUUUUUAUUUUCUGAGAAUUUAAUUAAAUCGAGCUUAGUAUGCUUUGGAGCAAAACUUUGUAAAUAUUCUUUAAGAAUCUAUUUAAGUGUAUAUUGUAAAUUAAUCCUGUAGAUAUUUUUUUUUGUGAUCACUACUUUUUGUGUGUUCUCUAAAAUGUAAUUUAUGAACAAUAAAUUAUGAAUGUUUGCAUUA
rnacentral:misc_RNA from 1 species